UGGAAAGGCCUGGAAGGUUGAGCCUGGA
rnacentral:piRNA from 1 species